AGAGAGACACGGCGACUGUUGGAGAGAGUGGUGUAUCAGACUGGAUACCCCAACUCAAUUGUAUCAACUGCUCGUUGGUACCUCUUAAGACACCUCCAUGCGAAAGAUGACCAUGAGCUAAUUGAUGUUUUGGUGAGGAAUGCCGAGACCCACGGUGAUAAAAGAAUGUUGGAACUGAAUCGGAAGCUGUCGGCCCAAUAAUCGUGGAUUGUGAGACGCACAGUAAGGAACCAGAGAAAACACUUGCAGAUGAGGCAGCGAAUCAAGCGUUCUCACCAGAACAGCACAUUUUAAAAUUAUGGUUGUAUCAGCUGGUCAAGGUGGUGCCCCAAUUUAAUCCUGGCACUUGGGAGGCAGAGGUGGGAACUCUGCGAGUUCCAGGCCAUCAUGGUCUUCAUAGAGUUUCAGGAUAGCCAUCUGUACACAAUGAAAUCCCAUCUUGAAAAGAAUAAAAAAUAAAAACAAAUAAGUUUAAAGCU
rnacentral:lncRNA from 1 species